AGAGUUUGAUCCUGGCUCAGGAUGAACGCUAGCGACAGGCCUAACACAUGCAAGUUGAGGGGUGACAUUGUAGCUUGCUACAGAUGACGACCGGCGCACGGGUGAGUAACGCGUAUGCAACCUGCCUAUAACAGGGGGAUAGCUCCCGGAAACGGGGAUUAAUACCGCAUAAGACUACGGAUAAGCAUUUAUCAGUAGUAAAAAUUCCGAUGGUUAUAGAUGGGCAUGCGUGACAUUAGAUUGUUGGUGAGGUAACGGCUCACCAAGUCUGCGAUGUCUAGGGGUUCUGAGAGGAAGGUCCCCCACACUGGUACUGAGACACGGACCAGACUCCUACGGGAGGCAGCAGUGAGGAAUAUUGGUCAAUGGACGCAAGUCUGAACCAGCCAUGUCGCGUGCAGGAUGACAGCCCUAUGGGUUGUAAACUGCUUUUGUACGGGAAGAAAACUAUCUACGUGUAGAUAAUUGCCGGUACCGUACGAAUAAGGAUCGGCUAACUCCGUGCCAGCAGCCGCGGUAAUACGGAGGAUCCGAGCGUUAUCCGGAUUUAUUGGGUUUAAAGGGUGCGUAGGCUGAAGAUUAAGUCAGUGGUGAAAGUUUGCGGCUCAACCGUAAAAUUGCCAUUGAUACUGGUUUUCUUGAGUACAUUUGAGGUAGGCGGAAUGUAGUAUGUAGCGGUGAAAUGCAUAGAUAUACUACAGAACACCGAUUGCGAAGGCAGCUUACUAAACUGUAACUGACGCUGAGGCACGAAAGCGUGGGUAUCAAACAGGAUUAGAUACCCUGGUAGUCCACGCUGUAAACGAUGAUCACUCGUUGUUUACGAUACAUUGCAAGUGACCAAGAGAAAUCGAUAAGUGAUCCACCUGGGGAGUACGGCGGCAACGCUGAAACUCAAAGGAAUUGACGGGGGCCCGCACAAGCGGAGGAACAUGUGGUUUAAUUCGAUGAUACGCGAGGAACCUUACCUGGGUUUAAAUGGGGAGUGACAGGCUUAGAAAUAGGCUUUUCUUCGGACACUCUUCAAGGUGCUGCAUGGUUGUCGUCAGCUCGUGCCGUGAGGUGUCGGGUUAAGUCCCAUAACGAGCGCAACCCACGUCGUUAGUUGCCAUCAGGUCAUGCUGGGCACUCUAACGAGACUGCCGGUGUAAACCGCGAGGAAGGUGCGGAUGACGUCAAAUCAGCACGGCCCUUACAUCCAGGGCUACACACGUGUUACAAUGGUCGGUACAAAGGGCAGCUACCUGGUGACAGGAUGCUAAUCUCGAAAACCGAUCCCAGUUCGGAUCGAAGUCUGCAACCCGACUUCGUGAAGCUGGAUUCGCUAGUAAUCGCGCAUCAGCCAUGGCGCGGUGAAUACGUUCCCGGGCCUUGUACACACCGCCCGUCAAACCAUGGAAGCCGGGGGUACCUGAAGUCUGUAACCGUAAGGAGCGGCCUAGGGUAAAUCUGGUAACUAGGGUUAAGUCGUAACAAGGUA
rnacentral:rRNA from 1 species